rnacentral:rRNA from 1 species
AGCCCACUAGCUAGCUCACACCCUAAAGCACAACAACCCCUUAUUAAUAAACCCCCAUUACCUAGUAAUAAACCAAACAAACCAUUUUUCCUCCCAAGUAUGGGCGACAGAAAAGGACUACACCGAAGCGAUAGUAACAGUACCGCAAGGGAACGCUGAAAGAGAAAUGAAACAAAGCAGUAAAGCAUAGAAAAGCAGAGCUUAGCCCUCGUACCUUU